GUGUGUGUGCGUGUGUGUGUGACCGUGUGUGUGUGUGUGCGCGCGUUACUCGCGCUCUCUCUUUCCUUAUGCGUGUAUGUGCACACAUCUUCGUACCUCCACUCCAAACUUAAUCCAGGAAAGGUGAACAUUCCUGCAUCAUAACUUGGACUGAAAGAUGAAUGUGUAGAAAGCGAGCAUGUCUUAAAAAACCUUGAGCUGCAGGUUUAAUGACUGCAUUCUUUAUUAAU